ACUACGGGAGGCAGCAGUGGGGAAUAUUGGGCAAUGGGCGCAAGGCUGACCCAGCAACGCCGCGUGAAGGAAGAAGGCUUUCGGGUUGUAAACUUCUUUUCUCAGGGACGAAGCAAGUGACGGUACCUGAGGAAUAAGCCACGGCUAACUACGUGCCAGCAGCCGCGGUAAUACGUAGGUGGCAAGCGUUAUCCGGAUUUACUGGGUGUAAAGGGCGUGUAGGCGGGAAAGCAAGUCAGAUGUGAAAACCAUGGGCUCAACCUGUGGCCUGCAUUUGAAACUGGUUUUCUUGAGUACUGGAGAGGCAGACGGAAUUCCUAGUGUAGCGGUGAAAUGCGUAGAUAUUAGGAGGAACACCAGUGGCGAAGGCGGUCUGCUGGACAGCAACUGACGCUGAGGCGCGAAAGCGUGGGGAGCAAACAGGAUUAGAUACCCUAGUAGUC
rnacentral:rRNA from 1 species